CCUACGGGGGGCUGCAGUGAGGAAUAUUGGUCAAUGGGCGCAAGCCUGAACUAGCCAAGUCGCGUGAGGGAUGACGGUCCUAUGGAUUGUAAACCUCUUUUGUCGGGGAGCAAGGCCCGCCACGUGUGGCGGGAAGGAGAGUACCCGAAGAAAAAGCAUCGGCUAACUCCGUGCCAGCAGCCGCGGUAAUACGGAGGAUGCGAGCGUUAUCCGGAUUUAUUGGGUUUAAAGGGUGCGUAGGCGGAAGGUUAAGUCAGCGGUAAAAUGUCGGGGCUCAACACCGGCCUGCCGUUGAAACUGGUCUUCUUGAGUGAGCGAGAAGUAUGCGGAAUGCGUGGUGUAGCGGUGAAAUGCAUAGAUAUCACGCAGAACUCCGAUUGCGAAGGCAGCAUACCGGCGCUCAACUGACGCUGAGGCACGAAAGCGUGGGGAUCGAACAGGAUUAGAUACCCUGGUAGUC
rnacentral:rRNA from 1 species